CCUACGUGGGGCAGCAGUGGGGAAUAUUGCGCAAUGGGCGAAAGCCUGACGCAGCGACGCCGCGUGAGGGAUGAAGGUCUUCGGAUCGUAAACCUCCGUCAGCAGGGAAGAACGGUCACUGUGCUAAUCAGCAGUGAAUUGACGGUACCUGCAAAGGAAGCACCGGCUAACUCCGUGCCAGCAGCCGCGGUAAUACGGAGGGUGCGAGCGUUAAUCGGAAUUACUGGGCGUAAAGCGCUCGUAGGCGGUAUGUCAAGUCAAGGGUGAAAUCCCCGCGCUCAACGUGGGAACUGCCUUUGAAACUGGCAAACUGGAGUGUGUGAGAGGAUAGUGGAAGUCCAGGUGUAGGAGUGAAAUCCGUAGAUAUCUGGAGGAACAUCAGUGGCGAAGGCGACUAUCUGGCACAUAACUGACGCUGAGGAGCGAAAGCGUGGGUAGCAAACAGGAUUAGAUACCCCUGUAGUC
rnacentral:rRNA from 1 species